rnacentral:rRNA from 1 species
AUUGAACGCUGGCGGCGUGCCUAACACAUGCAAGUCGAGCGGUAACAGGUGUAGCAAUACAUGCUGACGAGCGGCGAACGGGUGAGUAAUGCUUUGGAAUCUUCCCAGUAGUGGGGAAUAACCAGUCGAAAGAUUGGCUAAUACCGCAUACGUCUGUAAAGGGAAAGCGGGGAGUCGCAAGACCUCGCGCUAUUGGAUGAGCCAAAGUACGGAUUAGCUAGUUGGGGGGUAAGUGGCCUACCAAGGCGACAAUCCGUAGCUGGUCUGAGAGGACGACCAGCCACACCGGAACUGAGACACGGUCCGGACUCCUACGGGA